ACUGUCCCUAAUGGCAGUGCAAAUAUGGCUGCUGUGUGACAUGUGUGUCAGUAGGUGGCAGAGAAGAGAGAGGCUAUGUCUAUGCUCACUGUUCAGUCUUAUGAACAUCUGAAUUAUUAGUAACCUAACAUU